rnacentral:rRNA from 1 species
GCAAGUCGAGCGCUCUCCUUCGGGAGGGAGCGGCGGACGGGUUAGUAACGCGUGGGAACAUACCCUUUUCUAUGGAAUAGCCUUUGGAAACGAAGAGUAAUACCAUAUAAGCCCUUCGGGGGAAAGAUUUAUCGGGAAAGGAUUAGCCCGCGUUAGAUUAGAUAGUUGGUGGGGUAAUGGCCUACCAAGUCUACGAUCUAUAGCUGGUUUGAGAGGAUGAUC